rnacentral:rRNA from 1 species
AGUCGAACGCGUCUCCGUUGAUGAUUUUAGGUGCUUGCACUUGAAAGAUUUAACAUUGAGACGAGUGGCGAACUGGUGAGUAACACGUGGGUAACCUGCCCUUGAAGUAGGGGAUAACACUUGGAAACAGGUGCUAAUACCGUAUAACAACCAAAACCACCUGGUUUUGGUUUAAAAGACGGCUUCGGCUGUCACUUUAGGAUGGACCCGCGGCGUAUUAGCUUGUUGGUAAGGUAACGGCCUACCAAGGCGAUGAUACGUAGCCGACCUGAGAGGGUAAUCGGCCACAUUGGGACUGAGACACGGCCCAAACUCCUACGGGAGGCAGCAGUAGGGAAUCUUCCACAAUGGACGAAAGUCUGAUGGAGCAACGCCGCGUGAGUGAUGAAGGGUUUCGGCUCGUAAAACUCUGUUGUUGGAGAAGAACAGGUGUCAGAGUAACUGUUGACAUCUUGACGGUAUCCAACCAGAAAGCCACGGCUAACUACGUGCCAGCAGCCGCGGUAAUACGUAGGUGGCAAGCGUUGUCCGGAUUUAUUGGGCGUAAAGCGAGCGCAGGCGGUUUUUUAGGUCUGAUGUGAAAGCCUUCGGCUUAACCGGAGAAGUGCAUCGGAAACCGGGAGACUUGAGUGCAGAAGAGGACAGUGGAACUCCAUGUGUAGCGGUGAAAUGCGUAGAUAUAUGGAAGAACACCAGUGGCGAAGGCGGCUGUCUGGUCUGUAACUGACGCUGAGGCUCGAAAGCAUGGGUAGCGAACAGGAUUAGAUA